UACGAGUGUUAGUUACUGUGUUUGUUACUGAAUAGAAGAAUUGAUAGUUUACUGUGAUGAUGAACGCAAUAAUUAGACGAUUAGAUGUCCACAAUAUGCAUUUUUAAUUUGUAACACGUAUAUUACAAUCAAACAGUGUGAGGUCAGACUGAGUCGGGUCGGUGUCUAACGCGUCGUAGGUUCUGAAGUUCGUUGAGAACGGCUGGACGGAGCCUGGAACGUUUCCUCCUCCGGCUCUCACAUCAUCAUCUAUAAACACAGAUAUCAGUAUUUAUUAUUUUAUGCACAUCACAUAUACAUUCACAUGCAAGAGCUGAACACGAGUUCAUUAAUAAUACAUUUUUCAGGUUUGCAGAUCACUGUAUUGUCAUAUUUAAAUGUUGGUGUUGAGCGAGUGUAUGUAUUCAGCUGUGAUUCAUUAUAAAUGAGUGUUAAAAAUGAAGGUAGUAAAUGAAGGAUUGUGCGUGGUGACAGACAGCGUUAGUGUAGUGGGGUGUGUGUCGUGGUUAAAACGUCACCCUUAUUAACCACGUGGCCAAUGGGCGCUCUCCCUACCACAGUAUAUAAGUGGUUGUUUACGCCUCUCAGAAUGUGUCAUGGUCGAAAAGCCCGCCCCUUCCUUUCGUUGCUAUGGACUACAGAGGUAUGUGUUUUUAGCUUUGUUGCUUAGCUGUUACAUGCGAUGCUAGCGUUGUCUAUUUACCAUGCGAUUUACUUGUUUAGUGUGACGUUGGGCUACUGAGACUGUGUGCAGGGUGUGAUGUGCCGCUCACAAUCAGUGCGCUGUGCCGUCAAGGCUCCCAACUGUGUAGCAUGGUAGUUUAAUGUAGCUCCGGUCGGAGCGCCCGCUGUCGUCGUCACAACUAUUAAAGACGCUAUCAUGAUUUUCGUAUGUGCCAUCGUGAGUACCAGGUCAUCGGAUCACGGGUCCUCAAUUUUGCAGUGCGUUACGGCGGGCUGAGUGAGAUGUGGUCGUUUCGGUAUAGCUCCUCCCCCUCACUCGGGCCACGUUGCUGCUUUGGGGCUGCUUGAUUCUGCUUGAUGUUUUGAUUUGUUUUUAUUGUUUUAUGUUUUGUUUUGUUAUUUUGCUUUGUGUUGGUUGCUGUCACUGAGAUCAGUUUUCUUUAACUCAGCUGUGUUGUAACAGUCUUUAUCAGUUAUGCUGGUACUGCUAUGUGGUAGUAGUGGUUGUGGUCAGCUUUGGUAAACUUGCUACCUGUAAUCAGUUUGAGCUCGGGGUUAUCUGUGUUUUUGUGACAGUAAGCUUGUCUUUGUUUUAUUUCAUUCUUUUGUUCGUCUGCUUUGAGCUUAUUGUAAUUAACUUUGUGUUUUGUUUUCUCCUUGUAGGAGCUGAGUGUUUCCUGAGGUUUGGGGGGGGGGGGGGGGGUUCUUUGCUGCACCUUAGGCUUUACUUCAUUAAGGGUGGUUAUUAUUGCUGUGUUUAUUCUCAGUGAAUUUUGUGGGUAUGAUUCUGAUUAGUGGGGUGCUUUUCCCUUUUGUAUAGCUGGUGCUGUCGUACUAGCCUGCCCUUCAUACAGGAAGCCUCAGUCCUCCUAUGAUUAUUAUUAAUUUCCUCUUGUGAUUGUUUUAUUUGACCAAUGCCUGACUGUGUUGGAUGUUGCUUCUUUUAAAAAUAAUUCUUGGCCAGUCAUUUUAACGUAAAAAUAAAAUGUAUUUUUGUAUGGAAACCCAUGCCUCAUGCCUGUUCUAAGUGGAACGUACUUGUGUGUCUUUAUUUGGGUUAUUUUCCCCGUUUUCUCGGGGUGGCGUAGUUGGUACAAAACAAACGAGCCGCAUAGCUACAUGUGGCGUAGUUGUUGCAAAAAACGAGUCACAUUGCUACACGUGGCGUAGUUGUAGAGCGAAACGAGCCGCAUUACUACACAUGGCGUAGUCGGCAGGAUUUACAAAAAACAAGCUACUCUUAUCUCAUUAUUUAACAGAAAUGUCACGUUUUGGGUGACGAACCUUGACGCGUGAACAGGUUCCUGCUCCUCUUCCACGGCGUUAAUCUGCAGACAGACAGAUGUCCAACAACCGCCUGAAACAAACAACAACAAAUAUCAACAUCUAUCAUUUUUCUACAGUUGAGCGCAAAAGUUUACGUCCCCAAUGGCUUUCAAAUGUUUUGGGGGAAAAAAGCCUAACGAUGACCUCCUUCACCUGCAUCAACACGUCUUUGGACCGAAUAUUAAGAUUUCUCAUGAACAGAUACCGAAUGCAAAUUCAACACUUGGAAUCGACUCAAGACUUUUUAUCUCCUUAAUUUGUCAUGAAAUAACGAGGAAACAGGUCACACCUGGCCAUGAAACUGCUUACCAGUCAAUUGUCCCAUUACUUUUGAACCGUGUAAAUGGAGGGACUCUGUAAAAAAAAAAAAAAGGCUGUAAUUCCUAAACGGUUAAAAUGCUAUGUCAUGUAGAUGUGUUAUGUUGUAUUUUACACCUAAAAUGUUAAUGAAGCACAUUACAUAUUAAAAGAAUUUUGAAUGCAGCAGUAAUGUUUUUAACCUUAAUUACUUAUAAACUAUCUAAAAAUCUGUGUGUG
ensembl:lncRNA